rnacentral:rRNA from 1 species
AACGAACGCUGGCGGCAUGCCUAACACAUGCAAGUCGAACGAGACCUUCGGGUCUAGUGGCGCACGGGUGCGUAACGCGUGGGAACCUGCCCUUAGGUUCGGAAUAACUCCCCGAAAGGGGUGCUAAUACCGGAUAAUGUCUUCGGACCAAAGAUUUAUCGCCUUUGGAUGGGCCCGCGUUGGAUUAGCUAGUUGGUAGGGUAAAAGCCUACCAAGGCGACGAUCCAUAGCUGGUCUGAGAGGAUGAUCAGCCACACUGGGACUGAGACACGGCCCAGACUCCUACGGGAGGCAGCGGUGGGGAAUAUUGGACGAUGGGCGAAAGCCUGAUCCAGCAAUGCCGCGUGAGUGAUGAAGGCCUUAGGGUUGUAAAGCUCUUUUACCCGGGAUGAUAAUGACAGUACCGGGAGAAUAAGCUCCGGCUAACUCCGUG